GAUGAACGCUGGCGGCGUGCCUAAUACAUGCAAGUCGAGCGAACGGACGAGAAGCUUGCUUCUCUGAUGUUAGCGGCGGACGGGUGAGUAACACGUGGAUAACCUACCUAUAAGACUGGGAUAACUUCGGGAAACCGGAGCUAAUACCGGAUAAUAUUUUGAACCGCAUGGUUCAAAAGUGAAAGACGGUCUUGCUGUCACUUAUAGAUGGAUCAGCGCUGCAUUAGCUAGUUGGUAAGGUAACGGCUUACCAAGGCAACGAUGCAUAGCCGACCUGAGAGGGUGAUCGGCCACACUGGAACUGAGACACGGUCCAGACUCCUACGGGAGGCAGCAGUAGGGAAUCUUCCGCAAUGGGCGAAAGCCUGACGGAGCAACGCCGCGUGAGUGAUGAAGGUCUUCGGAUCGUAAAACUCUGUUAUUAGGGAAGAACAUAUGUGUAAGUAACUGUGCACAUCUUGACGGUACCUAAUCAGAAAGCCACGGCUAACUACGUG
rnacentral:rRNA from 1 species